UACGAAGGGGGCUAGCGUUGUUCGGAUUUACUGGGCGUAAAGCGCACGUAGGCGGAUUGUUAAGUCAGGGGUGAAAUCCUGGAGCUCAACUCCAGAACUGCCUUUGAUACUGGCAAUCUUGAGUCCGGAAGAGGUGAGUGGAACUCCUAGUGUAGAGGUGGAAUUCGUAGAUAUUAGGAAGAACACCAGUGGCGAAGGCGGGUCUCUGGGCCGAUACUGACGCUGAGGAGCGAAAGCGUGGGGAGCGAACAGG
rnacentral:rRNA from 1 species